rnacentral:lncRNA from 1 species
AUUUCUUAAUUCCUCUAGCACUGCUGGGUUAGGGUCUCCCCGACUGAGUUGGUCUCGGCACUAGUCUGUGUCCCUGGCUUGCCCUUCCCUCCAACUCUGUCCUGCAGGAUCUCUCUCUCUCAUUAAUAAUAACUAGCUUUUCCAUAUGAGCCAUCCAACUCUGUCGGCUGGGAACUUCUACCCUCAUUGCCUUCUUUGGGUUUUCAGACAGUUAUAGGAGUCAGAGCAGAUAUUCAAAUUCUCAUUUUACAGGUGAGCAAGUUGAGGUUCUGGGAGGACAUAAUAGUUAGUAGGUGGCAGGGCUGGGACUUGAAAGCAGAACUUCUGCCUCCAUAUCUGUGCACACAGCACCACCUCUGCAGUCCCUGUACCAUGAUUUUCUUUGUGCCUUGCUCUCUGUUGUUUUCCAGAACAGUCCUUAGAGGUAAAGUGGACACUUCAUCUGCCUUACCAGUGCCCAUGCACGUCCUCAUCUUCCUUACCAAGAGAACCCAGAACUGGUUCAGAGAUCCAGGCCUCCCACCUCAGGUGACUCCACCCUCAGACUGAUCUGAGGAUAAUCCCAUUCCCCCUAACAAUGGGAAGGGCCAUGUGAACCAAUUCUGGCCAAUGAGAGAGGGAAAAGAGUCUGUUAGGAAACUUAGGGAAAACCUCUCCUCUCUUCUAAGAGACUCAUAAGAAGAGAGCUUCUCUUCCUCCUCUGGACGCUGUCCUGUGUGUAGCACUCAGGACUGCUGAAGACAUCUAGGUAACAGCUUGAAGGUGAAACCAGCACUGAGGUUUCCUGAUUCCUGGGUGGAGCGCAGACUGGAGCCUAAGCCCUGACAGCAUGGGACUUGCAGCUCAAGUAUAUCUGUGCUUCACUGGAAGAGUUGAAAGAGCUGGAGACUGUCUGUGAUCAAUGAGCCCCUGUCACUCUCAUGACACUUUCCUGAACCAUUUCACCAGCACUCAGGCAGAAGAGGAGGACAGCAGGUGAAGUCAGAGAGAUUCAAAGCACAAGGAUUCAACUUUCUGUUGCUGGCCUUGAAGAUGCAGGAGGCCAUGAGCCAAGGAAUGCAAGCAGCCUCUGGAAGUUGAAAACGACCUAAGUGCUCAGUCCUACAGCUGCAUGGAACUGAAAUCUGCCAACACCCUGAGUGAUCCGGAAGUGGAUUUUCUCCCAAAGCCUCCUGAUAGGAGCCCCAGCCAGCUGACAGAUUGACUUCAGCACUAUGACAUCAAAGAGCCCACCCAAGGCUGUUACUGGAAGGAGGGCCUUGAGUGUAAGUUAUUCAGUUUCUUGGCGUUUUGAACAAAGACUUGGACAAAACACACAAAGUAACAAAGGACUGAAACAUAGGAACGAAGUAGGGAAAGCAGGAAUGUAUUAAAGUGAAAAAGGACCCCACAGGGUGGGAGUCGGCCCAAGCAGGUGGCUCAAGGGCCCAGUUGCAAAGUUUUCUGGGUUUUAAGUUCUCCUGUUCAGAUUCCUAUUGGCUACCCUUUAUCUGGAUGAAGAAUUUGGCCUGUGGCUAAUUAAAGGAUGAAGUGAAUUGGUGUCCUAUGCGAUGAAGGGAUGGUCCCUGCUUGGUCCUCGGCCCAUCGAAGGCACUCUCCCUGUCCAUCUGAGACAUUGAGUAGCCUUUGCUCCUUUGCUACUCUGGAGCGGGGAGGUGGGGUUUUUCCUUUUGGUUUAGCUUUAGGAAGUUGGUUUAAUUGGCCUUAGCUUCCCUGACCGUAGACCCAGGUGCUAUCCUUUUGAUUCAGCUUUAGGAAGUCAGCACGAAUUGGCCUCAGAUUCCGUGUCCCCACACCUUGGUGUUUUUCCUGGAUUCAGCACCAAUUGUCCUUAAGUUCCCUGCCUCCAGACCCUUAUUCUCCUUCCUGAAGACAGCUUGAACUUCUGACCCACAGAACUAGGAGCUAAUAAAUGAGUGUAGUUUUAAGCCACCGAGUUUGGCAAUUUGUUACAACAGCUGUCGAAAAUGAAUGUAAUCUACAAAAUAGGAGACUGUCACUUAGGGGAGGGACAGUAAUGCGUUGUGAGCACCUGGAGGGCAGAAACUGGGUGUUAUUUAUUUGGAGGCCUUACAGCCUGAUAUGUAGUAAAUGCUCAAUAAAUAUAAGUGAAUGAAUCAAUGAAUAAAUGUUAAAAGGAUAAGCAAAGGAGCCAGGCUCAGUCUAUAAAUUAAUGAUUUCCCAAAUAGCUGCAGAUUCCAGGAUGUGUUCAACCGAGAGGCAAGGGUGCUGAGAGGUUAGCGCUUAAGAGUCUGUUGUCUGGAGUCUGAGGUCUAAUCUCAGUUUGGUCUGCUAGCUGUGUGACCCUUGGGCAAGUUACCUAACUUCUCUAUGCCUUUAUUUUUCCACCUGCAAAGUUAGGAUAGUAACAGUAACUACCUCAUAGGGUUGUCACAAGGAUUAACUAAAGGAUGUACCUCAAGCUCUUAGAACAGUGGCUUGCCAUAGUAAAUAUUCAGUACAUAUUUGCAAUUAUUUCACAGAUGGAAUCAAAAUGAUCUGAUUUCAAUUUUUGUUUCUCCAACAAGGUACUCGAUUGGUCUCCACACCCCACCCCCUCAUACACACUCAUACACCCCCUCAUACACAUUCCAAAGCUUCAUUUUCUCAUUUAUAAAACAAAGAGAUGAACAUUAAGAACAUUCUUUAUUUUAAAAACCUCUGUCAUGUUAAAAAGCAGUGGGCACUGUUAUUUUAAUCUAGGCAAAGCCCUGUAGUUCUCACUGUUGCUGGCUUUUCAAAGUGGAAUUCAUCAGCAAAUAACGUUACUAAUGCUGCAAAUGAGUGGGGCUGGGUGGGGUUGGGCUGGCUCUCACCCUGCCCUCCAGAUGCAAUGAGUGUGGGGACACUGGUGACUUCUACAAAGGCUCAUUGAAAAGGUCCAGUCCAGCAGCGGCUUGGUCUAAGGUAAGGCUUCUUUUCUCAUUGAUUAGCUGAGCAGGGGGAGAGGAAGCUAUUAGUUUUAUUGUUGUUUUUCUUUAUUGGACUCACAAGGCCUCAAUGCCAUAAACCCAUAAACCAGAACUGGAUACAAUCUAUUCUUAAUUAUACAGGGACAGAUGAUCUGCAUUACAAAUUGUCCACAGCAAACCUUGCUCACUAAUUAUUGAUGAGAUUGUCAGUCACUUGCCCUGCCUAAGCUCAUGUUGGCAUAAAUGGCCCCAUUACUUACUGCGGACUUAGAAGGCCUUAUAUUAGAAAUGCUUAUGUGUGGACAUUUCUCUGCCUGCCUCCCUAGAAGAGAAGUUGCUUCGCAGUGGGCACUGUGCUAUCUAUGAAACACAUUGAAUGUAUGCCCCAACCAUGACCUUCCUUCCAGAACAGAGGAAGGGAGCCAAGCCAGCCAUUAUAGCUAUGUCUGUAUUCAGCUCUAAGCAUCAGGACCCAAACUCCAAGACAAUGCCUGUCCUGUUUAGGCCAGUGUUUUGCAUCGGUGUUUAGGGAAAAUCUCUAUAAUAGAAACUAUAGAAGGAGAGGGGACUGUCUUAGGGCAUGUCAGAACAUGCCCAGAUUAUUUCAUAGCCCAUAGCACCGAACAUACCAAUGUUCAAGGGUGAGCACUCAAGCAGCUUGUGAAGCCCCAGGUAAAUGAUGCUCAGCUGCCACGGUUUCAUUUUAUUCAGUCACAGCAUGGGCAAUUAAGAAUAAACUGCAUUUGAUUUCUCUGUGGUUGAGAAAGGAUCUUGAUGAGAUGUCAUCCUGGGGCUGAGUGUGUAGGUCCCAGGCAGACAUGUUCUGGGCUCCUGGAGCUGAGGGUGGGGAUGAGCAAGCCUCUGCUUGGGUUUAUCUCAGCCAGAGCUACAGGCCUUUUGGAUUGUUUUCUUUCCUGUGCCCUAGCCUUGAACUCUUGGCACAGUUCGGAAAUCCGUUUUCAUAAAACCGAUUUAUUUUUCCAUUUAUUUGAUUAAUUGAAAUUGCUAAUACUCUGGCCUCUAGGUCAUAAACACUGGAUAAUAAAACCCCCUCUACAUCUGUCCAGUAUUUUAGUGUUCACUAAGCAUUUCACAUCCAUCAUCUCAAAGGUAGGCAGGGAAGGGAUCGCCAUCUUUAGUUCAUGGAGAGGGUGACAUGUGUUGUCAAUGAUUACAGUUAGUAUGGAGCAGAGCUGGGGCUGGAAGCUGGUUCUUAGAGUCUGAGUCUAGUUCUCUUGUGGGGUGGCUAACAAGAGAAUGAAUGGCUCUUGUUGAAAUUAUUCCAGUUUACCCCAGGACUGAGUUGAUUUUUAGGAUCUGAGGCUUUUAAUUUUAAAACUGGGUAAGUUCUGGGCAAAUUGGGAGGAGCUUGUCACUCUACUUCAGAAUCCCAGGGUGUCUGUUGUGAUAGAGCCCUGUCACCUCCAUCAGGUUCAGGGGAGGGAGGUGGCAUGUGACUUGGCACAGGUGAGGCAGAUGUUGUACCUGGAGCAGCCAACCAGGGCUGCUAGCUGAGAACAGCCAGAAGAACCUUAUGGAUGAUCAGAGAGUGGCAGGAGAUCCAUCUAAGUCAGAUCUUGGGGUGGGGUUUGAUGGGUUGUGGAGGGACAGGAGGUACUGGUGAUGGAGUGACCCCUCCUGCCUAGGCUGCUUGUGGAGACAGUUCGUAGGAGAAGGAUUCGGAAGCCUGAGAGUGCUGAGCCGGAGAGGGGACACUAACAGGAACUGCCUGGCAAGAAAGACCCAUGAGAGAGACACCGAUGGCCUAAAGACAAAGACAGGGCAGAGGCACCAUGGUGGAUUGAUGGGAUGAUGGGGGAUGGAGGGAAAACGUCAGAGAAGGAGCAGACAGAGAGAGGAGGGAGGGUCCAUGAGGUAGUUUCAGUUGGAGAAGAGUUUUGGGGCCCUCACUUGCCAUCCACAGAAUCUCUGUCCUUGUGGGCUACAGCCUCCUUCCCUCCAGCCUAGAGAUUAAACCCUUCCUAAUAAACCAGCCAAUCUAAUUUAGUUGGGGUGGAAGGAGAGGGAAAAUGAUUUGUUCAAAGUGGCCUGAGCCUGAGCUGAGUCUUGAGCUCUCCAGUCCAGGUUAAUGGGCUUUUAGCCUUGAAUCAGGGCAAGAGCCAGGCAGGCCACGUGGCUCAUGGAUGUACUCCCUUGUCAGCCUCACUGUGUCCUUGACCCAGUCCCAGGACCUCUGGCCCUGGGAACUUACAUGCCUUCCCCAGUCUCUGAAGGAUGGGAUCUCAUGUCUUGGUUCCAUUCCCUUGCUUGUUAGCAUUUUGCCUUUAUUAAUUUGAAGAAAUUCAAAUCUUAUUGAGAAAUCAUUAAGUUAAACCAAACCCAGAACAAAUCAACUGAGUAGAAAAUUGCAGAUACCAGCUGCACUUUUUCCUUCCCACCCAGAGUGGAGAAAGGACUGUUUUUGUGAUUACCACAGAGGCAAGCAGGGAGAGUGAGGCACCUGCACUGGGCAUGUGGUCACCAUGUGACUGGCCAGAAAGCCCCAGGAGUUGGUUGCAAUAUGGGAAACCGUGUAAUGCUGCAGGGAAUAUAAAUAAGACAGAAGGAAUCAGCUAACAGAUGGGAUUUCUUAUCCUUUUUUGUUAUGGCAACCAGGUAGGAUGUUAUAACCUGCAUUUUAGUUUUCCCUUCUGCCCGCUAGUCUCGAUGUUUUAUCUAAUUUGUAGUUUUCUUAGUCUUGAUAUAUUUAAUUUAUAUCUUUUACUUUAUUACAUAUAUGUCUUGAAAGCUGCUUCAAAUCCUCUGUGGAACAAAGUGAGGAAUAAAUAUACAGUCUGACGAGCCUCUCCACUAGUGUCCUUUUUGGAGCGUAGUGCCACAGUAUAAGACUAAGUAACUAGGGAAGAAGGAUGGCGGAGUGGUCAUGCAUGCCUCCGCAAUACCUUGUCUCAGUUGGUGUGCAGAAGGGGGCACUCAGCCACCUCUAAGUUGUGCCAGUGCUUCCUAGACUCAGGAGAAGCAAGUGAACAUGGCUCUGUGUGAGCUGGCAAAGAAGAGUGUCCACCGCAGCUCUUGGCUCCUGGCGCAAAGUCACCCUGUCUCAGGAUCUUAUUGAAUUGUGAUUUCAUGAAUAUCCUCAUAAAGAAGCCAGUCUAUCUUUCUGGAGCUUUUUUCUGGAGCUUCUGGGUUCUCAUAUUUUAUAUUCUCAGUCUGAGUUUACCAUCUAGGGGGGCAGGGGGACCUAUUGUAACCUGCUCGGGUGAAUUGAGAUACGUCUUAUAAAAUUCUUGGGUUAUUGCAAUAGCUUCCUAACUAGCAUCUCUGCUUCAUUCUUGCCUCCCUACAACCCACUGAUUGAUCAUUAAAAAAAUGUAAAUCAUCACUAUGCCACUUCCCUCUGUAGAACCUUGCAUUGCUCUUGGCGUAAAAUCCAUGGUUCUUCCCAGGCUUUCAAGACCCUGCGUGAUCUGGACCCUACAUAUUCUUGUCUCCCUUGUCAUUCUUCUUUUGGCUUUCUGAAUAUGCCCAAUGUAUUCCUGUCUUGAGUUUUUGCUUUGCUUCUUCAAUUAUUAUUGCUUGUUACAGGAUUUUCCUGUUUCUUCAUGUAGUAAGUUCUUUCUUAUUCUUUAGGUCUCAAAUCUCAUCUUAGACCUGCCUUCUCUCCCAAUCCAUCUAAACUGGCUCCAUCCCUUUCACUCUGCUCGACCUCAAAAUUAUCCAUCACAUCAUGCUACUUACAUCCAGCAUUUACCACGAUCUGCAAUUAUCUUCUUUAUUUUCUCAUUUGUUCAUUAUACACCUCUCUGAGCAGUAUAUAAGCUUCAGAGGGCAGAGACUUGAUCUGUUUUGAUCUCAGCUAUAACUGAGCCACACCUAGCAUCUAGCACUGUGGCUGGCAUGUAGGAAGUUCUUAAUAAAUAUUUGUGAGAUUAAUGUAUCAAUGACUUAAACCAAAAGUUCACAAACUAUGGCUCAUGAACCAAAUCCAGCCUGUUGCCUGUUUGUGUAAAUAAUGUUCUGUUGGAACACAGCCUAUUCACUUACAUAUGUUACAUGAUUAUGUAUUGUCUGUGGCUGUUUUUGGUGCUACCAUGGCAGAGUUGAGUACUUGCAACAGAGAUCAUAUAGCCUGCAAUGCUGGAAAUAUUUACUAUCUGAUCCUUUACAGAAAAUGUUUGUUGACCCUUGGCUUAAACCAUAACCCUAACAAUGGCUUAAUCCAUAUGGGUAUUUAGCGUUUCACUUAAUGAGAAACAGAAGAUCUCAGGGUCAGUUCAGUGGCUCAGUGAUGUCAUUCAGAACUCACAGUCCUGCUAUUUUGUGCUCCUCUGUGCUGGAAAUAUCUUGCCUCAAAGGUCUAAGAUGGCUGCCACAGCUGUACACAUGAUGUCUUUACACAUCAGAGUUGUAAGGAAAAAGGAGUUUAGUGAGAGCAAAAACUGGCUUUCACAUGCUCAGCGCUUGCCCAGUGAUUGACAAGAAGGUGAUUGACUGCCAUGAUUGGCUUAGAUUGGCUUAGAUUGGCCGUGAUUGACUGCCAUGAUUAGCUUAGGCCAGUCAUGAUUCAUGCCUUGAGGUUGGGCAUAACACUUGUAGUGAGCAGAGAAGAAGGCAGACCUCUGUCCACUUGUAUGAAUGAAGCAUACUCAGUUUCCUCAAACUCAAGGUGGUUGUGAUUAAGGACUGAAGUUGUCUACUCUCUCCCCUUGAUAGAAUUAGAAAUGGAUGGGCACAUUAUUACUCUUUUUUCCUUUUCUAGCUUUCAGGGGGAUCUUCUAUCUAAUCCUUCACCCUCUUCACCAUUUUCCUCCCACUCGCUCCCAGCCUUGACCAUGUAACAUAACUUCAGGCAAGUAGAUCUCAGCUGACUUCAUAACAGUCUCACUUGAUUCAGAUUUUCCUAAGAGGACAGCCUGGCCUCAUUAUAAAGAUUUAGGAACACCAGUUGGGACUGUAAAAUGUUCCCAAUUCUAUUCCCCACCAGCCAAGUCUGAUGCUUUAAACUCCACUAUGCAAGGGACAUUUUAGUUUAAUGCAUUGUUGUUCAGAAUGUCUCUGUUAAAAUGAAUGGUAUUUUCAAAAGACCAUGCAUGAUGUGAGCUUAUGGCUUAAUCUCAAAGGUAUGACAUCACAUAUCAUCUUGGACAACAGAAAUCUUGACCUUGAGAGGAGCAGGGAGAAUGUUAUCAUGGAAAUAGCACAGAAUCAUGAGAUACCUAGAUUCCAGUUCUUGUUUGUCUGUUGCUCUGUUAUCCACCUUAGGUAAAUUCACUUUCUCUUUCUGGACCUCACCUCCCUCAUCUGUUUGAUGAAAGAGUUGGAUUCAGUGAUCUUUGAGGGCCCUUUCAGCUGGUGAAGAGGGAUUGGCCACACACUUUGUACAGUUUCAUGUCCACAUCACUGCCUUCAUUCACUCCUUAUUUCUUGAGCCAUUCUUCCGAUCCAUAUUUAUUAAGAACUUUCCAUGUGCUAGGAGUUUUCCUGGAUGCUGGGAGGGUAGCACUCCUGCUCUCUUGAAGCUUACUGUCGAAUGGGGAAGACAGAAAGAGUAAACAAGUAAUAUAACACCGUGAGACAAGUGUGAGGAAAGAGGAGACAAGAUCGCAUCACAGGCUCAUUUCAGUCCAAGGCAGAGAGGGAAGGUGUUACCUUAUACAAGGGGUCAAGUGUGGCUCCCCAGAUAUGGAGAUGUUUGAGCCUGAAGGAAGAUUCUGAGUUGACUAAGCUAAAAAAGUGUGGUGGGAGAAGAAUCUCUCCAGUAGGGGUAUUGGCAUGUGUUAAGAACUGUUAGUAAACUGUGUAUCAUUUAUGCUAUAUCAGGUUCACCAUUUCUCAGUCAAUUCACUUGCUGUGUGGCCCAUUCAAAAUGACAAUGGAAAGAAGAAUCAGAUAAAUUUAAGAAGAACCUGAGCCAAGUUUAUCCAACCAAUCACCACUGGGAUCACAGUUAAUAUCUAUUUCAUUACUUAAAUAAACAUAUACUAUACAUUUUAAGCAUGCCACGUAUAUCAGAUUCAUUGCUUUAAAAUAGAAUUAUCAAAUUGUCACAGUGUGCUAGGCACUUGGCCAGAGCCAGAGAAGGGAAGUAGAAGAGGACACAGACCAUAGUCUCCAGGAGCUCAGAGCUUAGUGUGGAGACAGUUGAGAACAUUAACAGCACGAGUACAGUAUGUUCCCAGGCACACAGAGGAUGCUGACACUAUCAGGCUGGGGCCAGGAAAGCUUUCAGAAGGCCAUGAGCCCCCUGAACUGAAAUUAUUUCUUAUUUAUUUAUUUUACUGUGGUAAAAUAAACAUAACAAAGUUUAUUGUUUUAACCAUUCUUAUGUGUAUCAUUCAGAGGCAUUGAGUACAUACACAAUGCUAUACAACCAUCACCACCAUCCAUCCCUAGAAACCACUCAUCAUCCCAGACAGAAACCCUGUGCCCGUGCAGCAAACACUCCCCAUUUCCCAAUCACCCCAGCUCCUGGAAACCUCGAUUCUACUUUCUGUCUCUGUGAAUUUGCCUACUCUAGACACUUCACAUAAAUGGAAUCACACAGUAUU